rnacentral:lncRNA from 1 species
GUAUAUUUAGAAAAUAUAUGUAGGUCUUCUAAUUUGUAAUUGAUUCGGAAAAUGUCAAUUAAGUUGUUUAAUUAAUUUUAGCUGCUUCGAUAGAUUUGGAAAAUAUAUUUAGGUCUUUUAAUUUUUAGUUGAUUCGGAAAAUGUCAGUUAAGUUGUUUAAUUAUUUUUAGCUGCUCCGGUAGAUUUGGGAAAUUUAUUUAGGUCUUUUAAUUUUUUGUUGAUUCGAAAAGAAAAAAAAUAGGUUUGUCAUUCUUCUAAAAUUUGUCGUUGUUGAAUAAUUUUUUAGGUCAACAGAAAUGUCUGAUUUAGUGAAGUUAGAUUUUCACUAUGGUCCUGGUACUGUUCAAACAAAUGAGAUGUGAGCUGAUCUUAGUGAAUUUCAGUACAUUGAGGCGCCAGUGACUUCCCCUGAAACAUAGUCUGUUAGUCAGUUGACAGUUAGUCAGUUGACAGAAUGGCUGGCCGGAUGUUUAGGGUUUAAUAUUGAAGCACACACCAUCGGUGUUCAUGCAUUAUGGACUCGGUCC